AUUGAACGCUGGCGGCAUGCUUUACACAUGCAAGUCGAGCGGUAACAGGCCGCAAGGUGCUGACGAGUGGCGCACGGGUGAGUAAUGCAUCGGAACGUGCCCAGCCGUGGGGGAUAACUACUCGAAAGAGUAGCUAAUACCGCAUACGAUCUAUGGAUGAAAGCGGGGGACCGUAAGGCCUCGCGCGAUUGGAGCGGCCGAUGUCAGAUUAGGUAGUUGGUGGGGUAAAGGCUCACCAAGCCAACGAUCUGUAGCUGGUCUGAGAGGACGACCAGCCACACUGGGACUGAGACACGGCCCAGACUCCUACGGGAGGCAGCAGUGGGGAAUUUUGGACAAUGGGCGCAAGCCUGAUCCAGCAAUGCCGCGUGCAGGAAGAAGGCCUUCGGGUUGUAAACUGCUUUUGUACGGGACGAAACGGCUCUGGUUAAUACCCGGGGCUAAUGACGGUACCGGAAGAAUAAGCACCGGCUAACUACGUG
rnacentral:rRNA from 1 species